UCGUCCAACCGUCGGUGUUGUAAGACCUCAAGGGUUGAACCUCCCGAGGAACUUGAGAGUGAGGCGAACGGUGUUUGCGGUCGCUUCUCCUUCCUCGCUCACUCCAACUGGGAAGGAGAAGGACACCGAGACCGGUGGGUGUCACGCCAUGGCCGCCUCACCCCUUUUCGAUGGGAGUGUUGAGACGGUUGCUCUUGAGGAGG
rnacentral:lncRNA from 1 species